rnacentral:rRNA from 1 species
AACGUAGGCGGAUCAGAAAGUAUAGGGUGAAAUCCCAGGGCUCAACCCUGGAACUGCCUUAUAAACUCCUGGUCUUGAGUUCGAGAGAGGUGAGUGGAAUUCCAAGUGUAGAGGUGAAAUUCGUAGAUAUUUGGAGGAACACCAGUGGCGAAGGCGGCUCACUGGCUCGAUACUGACGCUGAGGUACGAAAGUGUGGGGAGCAAACAGGAUUAGAUACCCUGGUAGUCC